GAUGAACGCUGGCGGCGUGCCUAAUACAUGCAAGUCGAGCGAACGGACGAGAAGCUUGCUUCUCUGAUGUUAGCGGCGGACGGGUGAGUAACACGUGGAUAACCUACCUAUAAGACUGGGAUAACUUCGGGAAACCGGAGCUAAUACCGGAUAAUAUUUUGAACCGCAUGGUUCAAAAGUGAAAGACGGUCUUGCUGUCACUUAUAGAUGGAUCCGCGCUGCAUUAGCUAGUUGGUAAGGUAACGGCUUACCAAGGCAACGAUGCAUAGCCGACCUGAGAGGGUGAUCGGCCACACUGGAACUGAGACACGGUCCAGACUCCUACGGGAGGCAGCAGUAGGGAAUCUUCCGCAAUGGGCGAAAGCCUGACGGAGCAACGCCGCGUGAGUGAUGAAGGUCUUCGGAUCGGAAAACUCUGUUAUUCGGGAAGAACAUAUGUGUAAGUAACUGUGCACAUCUUGACGGUACCUAAUCAGAAAGCCACGGCUAACUACGUG
rnacentral:rRNA from 1 species